ACGAGUUGAUCAGUGGCUCGAGGACGAACGCUGGCGGCGUGCUUAACACAUGCAAGUCGAACGGAACUUAUUGGAUCAAGACUUCGGUCAAGUGAAUUAAGUUAGUGGCGGACGGGUGAGUAACGCGUGAGGAACCUGCCUUUCAGAGGGGGACAACAGUUGGAAACGACUGCUAAUACCGCAUAACGCAUAUUGAUCGCAUGGUCGAUAUGCCAAAGAUUUAUCGCUGAAAGAUGGCCUCGCGUCUGAUUAGCUAGUUGGUGAGGUAACGGCCCACCAAGGCGACGAUCAGUAGCCGGACUGAGAGGUUGACCGGCCACAUUGGGACUGAGAUACGGCCCAGACUCCUACGGGAGGCAGCAGUGGGGAAUAUUGGGCAAUGGGCGCAAGCCUGACCCAGCAACGCCGCGUGAAGGAAGAAGGCUUUCGGGUUGUAAACUUCUUUUGUCAGGGAAGAGUAGAAGACUGUACCUGGCGAAUAAGCCACGGCUAACUACGUG
rnacentral:rRNA from 1 species